CCAUCUCUUCGCUGCCCUUUUAUAAAAGGUACACCUGCACGUGGCUGGAAAAAAAAAAAUGGCGCAGCCGUGACAAAUGAUUUAAAGCUAAAGAAGCCAGUUCACUUGUUUUGCCCGCUGUCUCGCCAAUGGUACGACCUUGGUAACCCCCUUUUUCGUUCAAUGCAGCUCGUCGAUGGGAACCCUGAAAUUCGCUCAGCGCCUAAAGCUCUAUUUUCGACAACAAAACAAAAAAAUCGUCAAGAAUUUAAGACAGGAAAUGGAGUAAGGCCAGCCUCUGUUUCGAUCGUGAUGAAAAUUUGAUUGUUUGAAAAAAAAGAAAAAAAAAAAAAAAAAAAAACUAAAAACAAGAAGGCGUUGGCUUAAAGGUAAAUUAAAAAUUAGACGACGACAACAGCUGGAGAAAAAAAAAAAUACAUAUCUAUUUAUCGAUGGCCUUUGGAUUUUCCAUGUUGGAAAGGGAAUGAUAUGGUGCAACGUAAUGUUUCGUUCGUCGACCUGUUUGAAUCGGAGUAUGCCGACCUUGUUGAGUACCACCAUCCACUUCGUUCGUGUUUCCCCGCUCAUUGAUUGACGCACUUCCGCGUCUCCAGAACGUAACGCAGCCGUUCUCCCUACAAAUUACUGAUUGAUUUCUAAUGAGUGUGAACGUGAGUCAUCGCUCUGCUACGGUCAUACCUGUUCAAACGUUCCAGAUCCCCCUUCCAAAAGAAAAAAAAUUGACUUUACAGAAAUUGCAGAACUCGGAUCCCGCAUCCCGAGCCGGAAUGUGAAUGGGAGAGGAACAGACAAGAUGUUGGCCUAUAUUUAAACGCUAAACCCAAAUAGGGUUCGUGAAGGCUGUCAAUGGCGCAGUUUACGUUUGUUUUGUACGUUCGUUCGCUCUGCAAGGUCAUGGAAAAUUCAAGAAUUGCUGUGGUCAUUAUUAUCCACUCUGGUUACAACCAGCUCCGAUUUUCACCGACACAAAAAACAAUUUCCCUAA